CCCUUCGGGGACAAAGUGACAGGUGGUGCAUGGUUGUCGUCAGCUCGUGUCGUGAGAUGUUGGGUUAAGUCCCGCAACGAGCGCAACCCUUGAUUUUAGUUGCCAGCAUUUAGUUGGGCACUCUAAAGUGACUGCCGGUGCAAGCCGGAGGAAGGUGGGGAUGACGUCAAAUCAUCAUGCCCCUUAUGACCUGGGCUACACACGUGCUACAAUGGAUAGUACAAAGGGUCGCGAAGCCGCGAGGUGGAGCUAAUCCCAUAAAACU
rnacentral:rRNA from 1 species